rnacentral:rRNA from 1 species
GACGAAGGGGGCUAGCGUUGUUCGGAAUUACUGGGCGUAAAGCGCGUGUAGGUGGUUGUCAUAGUCAGGCGUGAAAGCCUUGAGCUCAACUCAAGAAAUGCGCUUGAUACUGGGCAGCUAGAGGACCGGAGAGGAUAGUGGAAUUCCCAGUGUAGUGGUGAAAUACGUAGAGAUUGGGAAGAACACCAGUGGCGAAGGCGGCUAUCUGGACGGUUUCUGACACUAAGACACGAAAGCGUGGGGAGCAAACAGG